rnacentral:rRNA from 2 species
UUAAACUGAAGAGUUUGAUCCUGGCUCAGAUUGAACGCUGGCGGCAUGCCUUACACAUGCAAGUCGAACGGCAGCACGGGUGCUUGCACCUGG